AGCAGCCGCGGUAAUUCCAGCUCCAAUAGCGUAUAUUAAAGUUGUUGCAGUUAAAAAGCUCGUAGUUGAAUUUCGGGGUCAGUAGGUCGGUCGUGCCACUGGUAUGAACUGGUUUUACUGAUUCCUCCCUCUUGAAGAACUGUAAUGCCAUUAAUUUGGUGUUGCAGGGAAUCAGGACUGUUACUUUGAAAAAAUUAGAGUGUUUAAAGCAGGCUUUAGCUUGAAUACAUUAGCAUGGAAUAAUGAAAUAGGACGUUUGAUCCUAUUUUGUUGGUCUCUAGGAUUGACGUAAUGAUUAAUAGGGAUAGUUGGGGGCAUUAGUAUUCAAUUGUCAGAGGUGAAAUUCUUGGAUUUAUUGAAGACUAACUACUGCGAAAGCAUUUGCCAAGGAUGUUUUCAUUAAUCAAGAACGAAAGUUAGGGGAUCGAAGACGAUCAGAUACCGUCGUAGUCUUAACCAUAAACUAUGCCGACUAGGGAUCGGAUGAUGUUAAUUUUUUAANGACUCA
rnacentral:rRNA from 1 species